AGAGAAGAGGCUUCAUUUUCUUUCCUCUCUCUGGUGUUACUCAUCCCACUCUAGCUUGGACACUGACUCUCCAAAGUCAGUGCUUCCCUUUUCACCUUUCCCCUCCAAGAGAGAUGUUUUCAAGGAAAGCUAAAAACUCAUAAACAUUAUUUAUGUUAACAUUUUCUUCUGUCUAGAAUUAGGGCCAAUAACUGAUGCAGUUGCUGGGCACUGCCUGGAGGAAGGUUGCAGAACGAAGGCCAGAGAGUGCAGCUGUAGAAAUUGAGCCAUGGAGGUUCCACGGUGCAUCACUGAAACCUCCUCCUUCUGCAGACUUAAAAAUCAGGAGAAGCUUGGGAAACUUCCUUUUCCUCCCUGCCCUGGAGAGAAGUGACAGGAGCGGCGGGCUGGCCCCGCUCUGCCGCCAGCCCCUCCUGGGCCCGGGCAGCUGCUGCCAGGCCGGCAGGGCAGGGGAAAGUCACGGCGACUAACAUCCAGCAGACUUGCAAGCUUCUGGGCCGGGCCCACCCCGUAAGACCAGGGGUGGGCAGGAGGCAUCCACGGUCCUGGCUCCUGAGAUUCCUGACUGCCGUUUCCCCGGGCUGUUCCAAUCUCCCGGCAUGAGUUCUUCCCCCUGCCCAUCCAUUUCAAAGCGCGGCUUUGAAAUCUGACACUGUGAGCCGCUGCCCGAGAGAAAGAAACCUGGGCGAGAUGUUAAGUCUUUCCUUGCACAGAUGAAACUCCCAAAGCCCUAACACUUCUCUGAGAACAGCCAAAGUGACUGAACCAUAAGGACACACAGCAUGAAACUGAAGUCAGUGAAGAGAGUUAAGUUCUAAGUGGGAGAAAGGAUGGAGGAGUUGCCUCGUUUAGGCUGGACUUCUCUUAUGAGCCACGGUGAGGAACUAAUGUAUUGCAAUAUCCCUUUAAACCAUGGGAAAAUAUGCACUUUGGAAGAUGAUUAUUCAGAUUUGUGGAUUUGAGCAAAGGUAUCUGAGACUGACUGAGUGAAUAUUGAAUGAGUAGCUCUGAACCUGUGAUCCUAUGAGAUGUUUGAACAGAGAGAGAUGAGGUAAGAAGCCCUUUGCACCAGUGAAGAAGUGAAAAGAGGUCUCUGUUCCAUGAGAUGAAGAAAUCCUUUGCCUUUGGAGUUGCUUGUCUUUAAAAUGACACCCCAAAAUGUCCAUGACCCAUAUGCAGCUGUGGGAGAGCUGCUAAUGGGAGGGGAAUUCACAGUUUGCGGAGGUUUUUUUCCCAGGUGGCUGCAGAUUCAUCGCAUGGUAGCCACCAGAGGACUGUUUCUUGUGGCAAUGUCACCAUGGAAGUUCCAAGAGAGACUCCUCUCCCUAAGAAUUGAUGAAAGACUAUUUUAAGUGGUGAAACUGACUGAAAAUCACAGGUUUUGUCUCUUUAUGUUGUCAGUGGGAAAGUGAACAGUUUGUGGGGAGGGAGAAGUGGUUUUGAAUUUUUAUUUUCUUCUUUUAGUGUGUGUUAAUAAACCUAUCUUUAUACCUUUAAGUUUGGGCCUGCUUUGCUUUUCUCCUAAUCCUGUCUCACAGAGGGACAAAGAGUAAACACUCAGACCACUGCACUAAAUUUGGCAAGCAGAAACAGGUGAACGUGAAACCAUUACACUAAUAUAUUUUAUUGUAAGAACUGUAGUUUUAAAAGAAAUCAUCAAGAAAUGAGUUUCCACUCCUCAAUAACCUUUGGUGUAACAAAUCAAACCAAAUCAAAAAUAAAUCCCCAAAGAAAAUGCCCAAUGAUGUAUUUAAGAAGUAGGAGAUUUACAGAACUGAUUGGAAAGGAGUUCUGAAGGUCUGCUCCACCACCCUCCCUGCCUCUUCAAAGUAGGACCAACUUUAAAGCUGGAUCUGACUUUCAAGUUAGCAGGUUGCUUGGUUUCCUUUUGAAAAUUUCCAAGACUGGAUAUUUUACAGCCUCUUCCAGAACUCU